GAUGAACGCUGGCGGCGUGCCUAAUGCAUGCAAGUCGAGCGAACAGACGAGGAGCUUGCUCCUCUGACGUUAGCGGCGGACGGGUGAGUAACACGUGGAUAACCUACCUAUAAGACUGGGAUAACUUCGGGAAACCGGAGCUAAUACCGGAUAAUAUAUUGAACCGCAUGGUUCAAUAGUGAAAGACGGUUUUGCUGUCACUUAUAGAUGGAUCCGCGCCGCAUUAGCUAGUUGGUAAGGUAACGGCUUACCAAGGCAACGAUGCGUAGCCGACCUGAGAGGGUGAUCGGCCACACUGGAACUGAGACACGGUCCAGACUCCUACGGGAGGCAGAAGUAGGGAAUCUUCCGCAAUGGGCGAAAGCCUGACGGAGCAACGCCGCGUGAGUGAUGAAGGUCUUCGGAUCGUAAAACUCUGUUAUUAGGGAAGAACAAAUGUGUAAGUAACUAUGCACGUCUUGACGGUACCUAAUCAGAAAGCCACGGCUAACUACGUG
rnacentral:rRNA from 1 species